rnacentral:rRNA from 1 species
AUGCAGGGCAAGACAGACAUGUCUGCCAAGGGCGGCAAGGCCCUGGUCCAGUCGGACGCGGGGGCGUAUGUGGCGUGGUCGGGCGUCGACCAGCCGGAGCUCGCUGCAGAGGGGCUCGGGUGUGGCUUGCUCGUGCUAAGGCCGCUCUCCUUCGCGCUGCCGCACUACGCCGACUCCCACAAGUUCGGCUACGUCCUCGGAGGCUCCGGGGUCGCCGGUGUCCUCCCGGUCGCCACCGGGGACGCCUCCCCCGCGGCCAGGGAGAGGGUCGUGCGCCUCGAGGCCGGCGACGUCAUAGCCGUGCGCACUGGGGAUGUCUCGUGGUGGUACAACGACAGCGACGGCGAUGCGGACGACCUCUCAAUCUUGUUCAUGGGCGACACGGAGCGCGCUGUCAGCCCGGGGGACAUCUCCUACUUCUUUCUCGCCGGCGGCAACAGCGUCCUAGGCGGCUUCGACGCGGGCCUCCUCGCCGGCGCAUGGCCUGGCGUGACGAAGGAGCAGGCCGCCGCCCUUUUCCGGAGCCAGCCAGCCAUCCUCCUCACCGGGCUGAGCACGAAGCUGCCCGGCGUCUGCCCGCGCGAGCACGACAGAAAAGGGCUCGUCGUGAACGCCGGACAAGUGGCUGCAGGUACCCUGGAGACGCUCACCGCGGCGGACCUGGCGGCGCUAGGGGACCUCGGAAUCAGCGCGGUGAUCGGCCGGCUCGAUCCCGGCGCCGCGCCCGCGCCGUGGGUGUUACGGGAGGGUGCGGCGCAGUUGGUGUACGUGGCACAAGGGAGCGCGCGCGUUCAGGUGUCUUCUUCCGCGGGCGGCGAGACGCUGCUGCUGGACGAGGAGGUCGCCGCGGGGAGUGUGUUCGUCGUACCGCGGUUCGCCGUGACGCUCAUCUCCGCCGGCGCCGACGGCGCAGAGUGGGUGUCCCUGAUCAAGAGCGCCAGGCCCGCGGUGGAGCACCUGACCGGGGAUGGCUCGGUGCUCGGCGGCCUGACUGCGCAGGUGGUGCAGGCGUCGCUGAGCGUGGCGCCGGAGCUGGUGGAGCUGCUCGGAGUCCGCAGCGCCGAGCCGUCGCACUGA